AAACUUUCAACAACGGAUCUCUUGGUUCUGGCAUCGAUGAAGAACGCAGCGAAAUGCGAUACGUAAUGUGAAUUGCAGACACCGUGAAUCAUCGAAUCUUUGAACGCACAUUGCGCCCUGUGGUAUUCCGCAGGGCAUGCCUGUUCGAGCGUCAUGA
rnacentral:rRNA from 1 species